ACUGUCAGACUAGAGUCAUUCAGGGGCAAGUGGAAUUCCUGGGGUAGCAGUGAAAUGCGUUGAUAUCAGGAAGAACACCAAUGGCGAAGGCAGCUUGCUAUGGCUGUACUGACGCUGAGGAGCGAAAGCGUGGGUAGCGAACGGGAUUAGAUACCCCGGUAGUCCACGCCGUAAACGAUGCAGACUAGGCAUUGGGAGCAUCGACCCUCUUUGUGCCGAAGCUAACGCGUUAAGUCUGCCGCCUGGGAAGUACGACCACAAGGUUAAAACUCAAAGGAAUUGGCGGGGACUCGCACAAGCGGUGGAACAUGAGGUUUAAUUCGACAAUAAGCGAAGAACCUUACCAGGGCUUGACAUCUCUGGAACCUGCUGGAAACAGUGGGGUGCCCCUUUCUUAUAACAAUGCCAUUUUUAAUGGUCUGAUUGAUUGCAAAUUUUUAUUUGGCAGUCAGUCGGUUAAACUUGUUAUAGGUAAGGGGAGCCAGAUGACAGGUGCUGCACGGCUGUCGUCAGCUCGUGUCGUGAGAUUUUCGGUUAAGUCCGAUAACGAGCGCAACCCCUAUGAUGUGUUACUUGUGUCACAUCAGACUGCCUGGGUUAACCGGGAGGAAGGUGGGGAUGACGUCAAGUCAGCGUGGCUCUUACGCUCUGGGCGACACUCGUGUUACAAUGGCGGCUACAAAGGGUUGCAAAACCGCAAGGUUGAGCUAAUCCCCAAAAGUCGUCUCAGUUCGGAUUGGAGGCUGCAACUCGCCUCCAUGAAGCCGGAAUCGCUAGUAACCGUGGGUCAGCCAUACCACGGUGAAUACGU
rnacentral:rRNA from 1 species